rnacentral:rRNA from 1 species
AGAGUUUGAUCCUGGCUCAGGACGAACGCUGGCGGCGUGCCUAAUACAUGCAGUCGAGCGGAGCACUUCGGUGCUUAGCGGCGGACGGGUGAGUAACACGUAGGUAACCUGCCUAUCAGACUGGGAUAACUAUCGGAAACGAUAGCUAAGACCGGAUAACUGGUUUUCUCGCAUGAGAGAAUCAUGAAACACGGAGCAAUCUGUGGCUGAUAGAUGGGCCUGCGGCGCAUUAGCUAGUUGGUAGGGUAACGGCCUACCAAGGCGACGAUGCGUAGCCGACCUGAGAGGGUGAACGGCCACACUGGGACUGAGACACGGCCCAGACUCCUACGGGAGGCAGCAGUAGGGAAUCUUCCGCAAUGGACGCAAGUCUGACGGAGCAACGCCGCGUGAGUGAUGAAGGUUUUCGGAUCGUAAAGCUCUGUUGCCCUAGACGAACAGCAAGGCGAGUAACUGCGCUUUGUGUGACGGUAUAGGAGAAGAAAGCCCCGGCUAACUACGUGCCAGCAGCCGCGGUAAUACGUAGGGGGCAAGCGUUGUCCGGAAUUAUUGGGCGUAAAGCGCGCGCAGGCGGUUAAUUAAGUUGGGUGUUUAAGCCCGGGGCUCAACCCCGGUUCGCAUCCAAAACUGGUUGACUUGAGUGUAGGAGAGGAAAGUGGAAUUCCACGUGUAGCGGUGAAAUGCGUAGAGAUGUGGAGGAACACCAGUGGCGAAGGCGACUUUCUGGCCUAUAACUGACGCUGAGGCGCGAAAGCGUGGGGAGCAAACAGGAUUAGAUACCCUGGUAGUCCACGCCGUAAACGAUGCAUACUAGGUGUUGGGGAUUCGAUUCCUCGGUGCCGAAGUUAACACAGUAAGUAUGCCGCCUGGGGAGUACGCUCGCAAGAGUGAAACUCAAAGGAAUUGACGG